GCCUCCUUAGCUCAGUGGUAGAGCAUUGCGCUUGUAUAGACCUCGAAGUUGAACGUUGUUUACAACGCAAAGGCCGGCCGUUCAAUCCGGCUAGGAGGCA